GAGCUGAGCAGGCAGGAGGAGAGUCGGCGGGCAACAGCUGAAGGGAAACAUCCACCAGCGCAACGGUAAUUUAAUAAAUUCCCAAGGCUCUGUGUGGAAUUAGAAGAAGCGAGACUUUGGUCAGAGGAGGGCUUUUAGGAAACCAGGGAACGCACAUCAGAGGCACAGCAGUCGAUGAGCUUGUUGGCGUUAACUGUGGAGUAAUGGGUAGAGUCGGUUUCCCCAGGAGGUUGUGGGUUUGAUCCCAACUCCGUCAAGAGCCAAAGUGUCCCUGGGC